rfam:Chlamydomonas reinhardtii strain CC-503 cw92 mt+ CHLREscaffold_16 genomic scaffold, whole genome shotgun sequence.
AAACCGGUGUUUCUCAACACCACCACGAACAAACGGUCAAUGUUGG